rnacentral:rRNA from 1 species
GAUGAACGCUGGCGGCGUGCCUAAUACAUGCAAGUCGAGCGAAGCGGGGACGGGUGAGUAACACGUGGAUAACCUCCUAUAAGACUGGGAUAACUUCGGGAAACAGGUGCUAAACCGCAUACUGAUGGAUGGACCCGGGUUGCCUUAGCUAGUUGGUGAGGUAACGGCUCACCAAGGCCACGAUGCAUAGCCGACCUGAGAGGGGGAUCGGCCACACUGGGACUGAGACACGGUCCAGACUCCUACGGGAGGCAGCAGUAGGGAAUCUUCCGCAAUGGGCGAAAGCCUGACGGAGCAACGCCGCGUGAGUGAUGAAGGUCUUCGGAUCGUAAAACUCUGUUAUUAGGGAAGCGGUACCUAAUCAGAAAGCCACGGCUAACUACGUGCCAGCAGCCGCGGUAAUUC